UACGUAGGAGACGAGCGUUGUCCGGAGUUACUGGGCGUAAAGGGUGCGCAGGUGGCGGCGCGCGUGGGGGGGUGAAAUCGCCCGGCUUAACUGGGCGGGGGCCUUCCAGACGGCGUGGCUUGAGCAGCGGAGGGGGACGUGGAAUUCCGGGUGGAGCGGUGAAAUGCGUAGAUAUUGGGAGGAACACCAGUGGCGAAGGCGGCUCACUGGACCGGAACUGACGCUGAGGCGCGAAAGCGUGGGUAGCAAACAGG
rnacentral:rRNA from 1 species